rnacentral:tRNA from 3 species
GGUCUUGUAUUUAAUAAUAAUAUUAAAUUGCAAAUUUAAAGGUGAUAAAAAUAAAUCUAAGGCUU